GCCACCGAAUUGGGCCGAAUCAAACCAGGGACCAAAGCUUCGCACAGCCCUACUAAAUAUAAUCGCAACUCACAAUUCUCAUUUCAGCACCGGUAGGAAAAGGAAGCACAUUAUCCAACUGCUGCAGCAGCAGCGUCACAGAAACUGGUUUGGGUUAAAAAGGCUUUGUCUUUUGCUUUAAAAAAUGCAAGAGGAAUGAACAUUUUUAAAUCCUUUAUUAAGAAGAAAAUAUCUCUCUAUUCCAGCUGGUCAAGAUCUCAUAACAUACAGUUCAGAAAGGUGAUGGGCAGUUUCUUUGCUAUUAGGGUUUGGGGGUUUUUUUGUUUUUAUAUAUAUAUAUCUCUCUCUAUAUAUAAAUAGCUCUCAUUAUUAAGGUUGUCCCUUGAAGUAGCCUGCAGAAAUAACUUGAUAUCCUUCAAUUCCCUGG